rnacentral:rRNA from 1 species
UUCUGGUAGGUACGUCAGCUGAACUUUCUCUGAAUUCAGUUAUUCUUCCCUUACAACAGUGCUUUACGACCCAAAGGCCUUCAUCACACACGCGGCGGCCCUCCUUCACACUUUCGUGCUUUGGGAAAAAUUCCCUACGGCGGCCCCCCGUAGAAUAA